rnacentral:rRNA from 1 species
AUUGAACGCUGGCGGCAUGCCUAACACAUGCAAGUCGAACGGCAGCACGGGGGCAACCCUGGUGGCGAGUGGCGGACGGGUGAGGAAUACAUAGGAAUCUGCCCUGUUGUGGGGGAUAACGUAGGGAAACUUACGCUAAUACCGCAUACGACGGCGACGUGAAAGUGGGGGACCGCAAGGCCUCACGCGAUAGGAUGAGCCUAUGUCCGAUUAGCUAGUUGGCGGGGUAAGAGCCCACCAAGGCGACGAUCGGUAGCUGGUCUGAGAGGAUGAUCAGCCACACUGGAACUGAGGCACGGUCCAGACUCCUACGGGAGGCAGCAGUGGGGAAUAUUGGACAAUGGGGGCAACCCUGAUCCAGCAAUGCCGCGUGGGUGAAGAAGGCCUUCGGGUUGUAAAGCCCUUUUGUACGGGAAGAAAAGCUGCCGGAUAAUACCUGGUGGUGAUGACGGUACCGUAAGAAUAAGCACCGGCUAACUUCGUGCCAGCCGCCGCCGUAAUAC